GCAGCGACCUGCUAACAUCCAGACGGACUGCAGCGACCUGCUAACAUCCAGACGGCAGCGACCUGCUAACAUCCAAACGGACGGCAGCGACCUGCUAACAUCCAGACGGACGGCAGCGACCUGCAUGAGGAGGAAUUAUUCCCCUGAACGGUCGCCCUCCGGCUGGUUGAGUUCUGGUCACUGAACAAAGGACCUCCAGGCUUCAUCUCAAGAUGGAAAAUACUGUGGAACUAAACCAGGAGACACCAGAACCACAGCAGACGACUCGGACAAAAGAGGAAGCAGAACCUCAACCAAUUAAACGGGAAAAGGUUGAUGUAAGCAUCUGUCAGGAGGGGAGGCGGGUUCUAGUGAAGGAGGAGGAGAAUCCUUUGAUGGUGACUCCUGAUUAUGCAGAAAUGCUUUACAAUGUAAAGGACCUGCAACAGACAGGAGAGACCAAGGAGGAACCAGAACUCAUACCGGUUAAAGGGGAACAGGAGGAACCAGAACCCGUACAGGUUAAAGGGGAACAGGAGGAACCAGAACUCAUACCGGUUAAAGGGGAACAGGAGGAACCAGAACCCGUACAGGUUAAAGGGGAACAGGAGGAACCAGAACUCAUACCGGUUAAAGGGGAACAGGAGGAACCAGAACCCGUACAGGUUAAAGGGGAACAGGAGGAACCAGAACCCGUACAGGUUAAAGGGGAACAGGAGGAACCAGAACCUGUACAGUUUAAAGGGGAAACAGAAGAUGAAGAGCAGCUUGCUGUGAAGCAGGAGGAGGAAACCUUCAUGGUUCAUCCUAACUGUGAACAAACAGAAAACAAAGAACUAGGAACAUUUAAGAACCAACCACCCUGUCCAAACUGGCCUGAAGCUGAGAACCGACAUCAGCAGAAAAGCAGCCAUGACGAUUUGACGUCAGGUACAGAUGAAGAGCUUCAGCCAGAGAUGAGACAUCAGAACAGCGGGACCAAUCCACAGACAUCCAUGUAUGAAGUGGAUCUGUUUUCCUGUGAAGUUUGUGGUAAAUCUUUCAACAAGCAAAAGUGCUUGACUGUCCACAUGAGAACUCACACAGGGGAGAAACCUUAUCCUUGUAAAUUGUGUGGUAAAUCUUUUGCCAUCUAUGGUACCAGAACUAGACACAUGAGAAUUCACACAGGAGAGAAACCAUUCACUUGUGAAGUAUGCGGUAAAUCUUUCAGACACUCCUACCAGCUACGUCAUCAUCUAAUAACUCACACAGGGGAGAAGCCUUUCUCAUGUUUGAUGUGUGGAAAAGAUUUCAGCCAGCAAUCUAACCUAACUGUGCACAUGAGAACUCAUACAGGUGAGAAGCCUUUCACAUGUUUGAGAUGUAGAAAAUGUUUCACUAGGCAAAGUACUUUGAUUGAGCACAUGAGAACUCACACAGGCGAGAAGCCGUAUUCUUGUCAAUUAUGUGGUAAUACAUUUAGAUACAGUCGCCAUUUGACUCUUCAUGCAAGGACUCACACAGGCGAGAAGCCUUUUUCAUGUUGGACCUGUGGAAAAAAAUUCUCAAGGCAGUCCAACUUGAAUGUUCACAUGAAAAUUCACACAGGUAAGAAGCAACAUCCUUGAGAUUUGGGCUACAAGUCUUUAAUGACAGGUAGUCAAUCUGCCAAGACGAGGUCUUGAAACUGACAUCUGACAUUCUCUGUCAUGGUGGCUGAUAAACUGUCAAAAUGGACAGCAUUUAACAGGAAAUAAGUUAAAAUCUCCUGAAAUUUCUCCAAAUACCUUAGGUUGAAGUACCUACAGUAAGAAAAACAGCUGAUGACAUCACAGGCAUUGUCAGCCACGAAUGAUUGCGCAAACACUACUUUUGUCAAAAUAAUCCUGAAUCAACUCGCAUAAAUAAUUUGACAUAAAUGGACAGCUGAAACCCUGGAUCAGAGACGAUGUCUCCCUUUAGUUUGUCCUGGAUUAUUCAGCACUGCUAAUCCACCUCCUGUGAUUUUAUCCUACUCAGGCAGAGAGUAAAUAUCCUUAUAGCACCUGUUCAAGUUAGUGGACUUCACAGCACUUUACACUAUUUCCCCUCAGUCAUUCAGACACUGAUGGUGGUGAGGCUGCUGUGCCACCACCACCCCCCCGAUCGCCAUCACUAGGUCAUGUGAAGUGUCCUAUCCAAGAGGACCAUGAAUGAGACGGACUUCUGCAUAAUCCUGCAGGCCCAUCACACAGCCUAGAUGAGCCUAUGAGGCAAGAAGUGCGGCAGAACCGUCAGCAUCAAAAGCCGAGCAGUGAGGUGAUAAACAGGAGGAGAAGGAAAACAGACUGCAAAGAAACACAGAUGUUAGAAUUAAUUAAGAAAUACAUUUUUUCUUUGUCUGCAGGGAAUAUUUUCACCUCAACAGUAGAGAUAGAUUCAUUUCUGGCAUCAGAGAAGAUCAGAUGAGCAGAAUUACAGACGCCAACAUUUAUGAAGAGCAGCUCAACGCCCCCCCCCC